UGGAGAAGCCUGCUCUGUCCAUUGACUGCACAGAACAACAAAGGUAGUGUUUUUCUCUUCAUUUAAUUUCAUUUUGCCACUUCCGUUUGCUGCUCAGGCAAUAAAUUUCUAAGAACAAAUUGAACACGCUUAUCCUUUACUCAUUUCCGUUCCCUAGGCUGGAAUUCCAAAGUUGUAUGAAGUUACUGGAGGAACACACACACCAGGAUGAGACCCAGAGCCAGAGGAACCUGACUGAUCACUGUCCUUGGGUUCCCUAACAUUGGGAACACAUGUUACAUGAACGUGACUCUCCAGAGUCUCUUCAGUCUCCGAAUCUUCACCCAAGACAUCAGGAGAGAGGAAGGCUGCUGGAGGUCACAUCUUACCCCACAUUUACUCAAAUCUGCAGUUAGCACGGGCCAGCUACAGCAACGAACUGCAGUGACUUCUAUGGGAUGAAUAGCAG